rnacentral:rRNA from 1 species
UUAUGCGAUAAAAUGGUGUGAAUUGCAGAAUCCCGUGAACCAUCGAGUCUUUGAACGCAAGUUGCGCCCGAAGCCACUAGGCUGAGGGCACGUCUGCCUGGGUGUCA